rnacentral:misc_RNA from 1 species
AACCUAGCACACCUGCGGUGUGUACCUGCGGAGGGAUCAUUAACAAGCUGUGGGAGAUCGAUCAAUUUGAUCUCACACCUGGCCAACCUUGUUAACCUUAAAUAUAUUGCUUUGGUGAGCCCUGCUCACCAAAGUCAAACCCUAAACUCUUGAUUGUUUCUGCUGUCUGAGCAUGCAAGUGCAAAAUUUAGUUAAAAACUUUCAGCAAUGGAUCU